UUCCAGAGAGAGGAGAAGGGAGGGAGAGAGGGAGGGAAACAUCAGUGUGAGGUUGCCUCUCACAUACCCUCAACCAGGGACCCAGCUUGCAACCUAGGCACAUGCCCUGACUGGGAAUCAAACCCAUGACCCUUUGGUUCACAGGCCAGCACUCAGUCCACUGAGCCACAUCAGCCAGAGCUGGACAGCAGAAGUGUUUUUAUUCAGCAUUUCCUAGCAUGCGAUAAUAAAACUAUAACCUCCAGUGGAAGAGCACGUGUGUCCUCCAAGGUGAAGGGCGUAGACCAGACAGUAUCAUUCAAGCAUAAGGAGACUGGAUGAAGUUCUGAUCCAUAUCACAACACGAAGGGACCUUGAAAACAUGAUGCUAAAUGAGAGAAACCAGACACAAAAAGGUGUUCCAGGAAAAUGCACAGAAGCACUGAUAGCCUUGUGUCCACUGCGUUUAUAAGGCUUUCCUGGCCACAGAGUCAAAGCCUAAAUCAGUGAAAGCUGGAAAAUGUAAUGUGACACUCUUGGCCUUUAAAAAGGAAUGAGAGCUGAAAAAUAACACCUCUGGGCAACAAUGCUGAUGAAGCUCACAAAUACGAUGAUGAACCGAAGAAGCCAGCCACAGAACAGCACAUAUUGCAUGAUUCUAGUUGUACAAACACAAAGCAGGUGAAACUGUACUGGGCAUCAGAAUUCAGGGUAGUAGGUAUCCUGUGGGUGGGUGGAGCCAGGCAUGAGGCUUUAAAAU